rnacentral:rRNA from 1 species
UGGGGAAUCUUGCGCAAUGGGCGAAAGCCUGACGCAGCAACGCCGCGUGGGGGAUGACGGCCUUCGGGUUGUAAACCUCUUUCGACAGGGACGAAGCUUUCGGGUGACGGUACCUGUAGAAGAAGCACCGGCUAACUACGUGCCAGCAGCCGCGGUAAUACGUAGGGUGCGAGCGUUGUCCGGAUUUAUUGGGCGUAAAGAGCUCGUAGGCGGUUUGUCGCGUCGGCCGUGAAAACCUGCAGCUUAACUGUGGGCGUGCGGUCGAUACGGGCAGACUUGAGUUCGGCAGGGGAGACUGGAAUUCCUGGUGUAGCGGUGAAAUGCGCAGAUAUCAGGAGGAACACCGGUGGCGAAGGCGGGUCUCUGGGCCGAUACUGACGCUGAGGAGCGAAAGCAUGGGGAGCGAACAGG